AUAUUUUGGUCGUCUUAUAUGGGUGUGGCUAAUCUGUACCACCACGAGCAAAAUAAUAACACCUAUACGAUAUUUAUAGAUUACAUCAAAAGCUACCACAAUCCUAGUCUAAUUAGAUUUCUACUCUAAGUAAUAUUUAAAUCUUAAUACUUUAACUUUAACGGAUUUAAAUAUUAAUUCUAAUCAAACUAGGAUUCAACUACAAAACUAAUCAAAUCCUAACAAAAUGUUGUUUAUUCAAAAU
rnacentral:lncRNA from 1 species